rnacentral:rRNA from 1 species
UACGGAGGAUCCAAGCGUUGUCCGGAUUUAUUGGGUUUAAAGGGUGCGUAGGCGGAUGAUUAAGUCAGUGGUGAAAGCCGGCAGCUCAACUGUCGAACUGCCAUUGAAACUGAUCGUCUUGAAUCUAGUAGAGGUAGGCGGAAUGUAUCAUGUAGCGGUGAAAUGCGCAGAUAUCAGGAGGAACACCAAUGGCGAAGGCAGCACUCUGGGACGUGACUGACGCUGAGACGCGAAAGCGUGGGAGCGAACAGG